GGGAGAAGGGAAGGAGUGGAAAGAUACAGGCUGUAGAAUUAAGGGUGAAGGACCUCAAAUUUGUCCAACAAUUUUUCUCGACUUGUUUCCCAUGUUGGCCUUUUCUCUGCAACUGGGUCAUAGAUUCCUUGAGGGAAGUCACCAUGCCUGGGACAUCUGCAUGCCCAGUAGCACUCUUGUGCCAUUGACACAGAGCAGAUGGACAAUGUGAGUGCUUGAUGGGCCAGUGGAAGGGAUGUGGCCGGGAAGGAAGUGAGAGCAGCCCUCAUCCUAGAGGCUGUGCCUGGGGCCAGGCUGGACACUCCUGAGGAAGUGGACGCCCCCCAUGCCUUGCUGAUUGUGUAACUUAGUCAUCAACGGGGACGUAGAGAAGUGAAUCACUAUGAUGGAGGAAACCUAAUGUGCUUCCCUCCCCAUGGCCCCCUCCAUGCUGCAUGAGUGCUUCCCAGGAGCCCGAGGGAGCUGGUUACAGUUUAAUUUUAUUUCUUUUAAUUUUAUGAGUGAGAACCCCUGGGUUGAUCAACAUGAAAGGAAAUGGUAAUUUGUGAAGUUUCUUUUUCUUUCCUCCACACUCUUCUGGGUUGUUUACCUGAGGAGAAAGGGCCUUCUUUGCAAGCUGUACAGAGUUAAGAAGAGGAUGAUCUGAAGGAUGACGGUGGCCUCUGAGCAGAGAAGGGCAAUUACCGGAAGUAAAGAUGCCGAAUCUUACAGUCUCAGAAGCCAUGUACCUGUGGUCUUUUCACUUCUCAAUCUCCUCUACAAUGACAGUGACUACAAGAGCUGAGAGAGACACCUUGGGCCAGUCCAUGUAACAGAAGGUGACACUGAGGACCAGGAGAAGAGCAUCCGCUCUGGGUCAAACAGCUAGUGCCAACCAGAGCCCUGACCCUGACUCCCAGCCUGGCUGCUCUCCACUGACCCUGCCUCUUUCCUCUUCCUGGCAUUAGACACUGGAGAAAUGGAUUGUAACCAGAUGUCAAAUGGGGUUCUCCUGUUGCCCCGGAAUUGUGGCCAGGGUCCAAGGCUGAGUGCAAGCAGUGGGACGUUCCUGCCUGUAAGUACUGAGAAGACCUGAAGUCGGGCUGCCGGAUGCUGCAGGGCCUGCUGUGGGGGCUGCAGUACUUCCCGUGCUGCUCCUGCCUACACCCCUUCAUGGACAUAGGGGAGGAGAGGGGAAGGGGAGGAGCAUGGCUUCCUUCUGCUCAGAGCCAAGGGAGGGCAACUCGGAGAGAAUCAUGCAUGAAGACAGGGUCCCUGCAAGGAGGCCGAUGGGCGUUUCGUGUCCAGUUAGUAUCUGCUUAUCCUGAAGCCUGUCUGAUUGGUGCUUGCCUGGCCCAACAGGAAGAUAUGGGAUGGCAGAGAAAUGGUGGAGAGCCUGCACUCCCCCCAUCUGCAAAAGAUGAAGAUCCUCUGAGUCCCCCAGCCUAGAAAGGGGAGGUCAGGGUGGGGAGACCUGUGUCAGGAGCUAUGAGGGCAGGAGAGAGGAUGAGCCAGAAGUGGAAGCCCCAUCCAGGGUAGGAAGAGUGGGGGGGGGGCCCAUAGCACUGCAUAGGCCCUUCCUCCACACCCAAGCCAGCACUGUGAUGCCACCACACAGAAGAACCAGGGGCAAUAAUCAGAGAAGAUGACCAGGGGUGAAGAAUCAGAACAUAGUGAGGUAUGGUACUGGGGCAGGAGGCUAAGGAAGGGGGUGUCUCUACUGAGGAUACCCCUCAUUCCUGACUAUUCCUGGGACUAUGGUGCUGAGAAGGAGAAGAGGGAGUGUCAGAAGCCAAACUAUGUACCCAGUGCUACAUGGGUUGCCAGAUAAAAUACAGGAUGCCCAGUUCAAGUUUAGUUUCAGAUUAACAAUGAAUACUUGUCAGGAUAAUUAUAUCCCAAAUACUGCCUGGGACGUACUUAUCCUAAAAAAAAUACAUUUGGAUAUUUUUAUUCCAUAUUCAAUAUCAUUGAAUAUGAAAUUGAAAAUAACAUUUGUACUUGCUAAAUCUGCUAACCCAACCUUCUCUGUCCCCAAUACUAAUUCAUGCAUGUGUCCACAUCACAUAUACACCCUGCUCCCCCAGGCUGCUGUAGCCCUUUGAUCUGAGUUUGAGACUGAAUCUUAACAACUAAGGAACUGUUCUAAUAAACCAAAGAGGCUGGCAAGUUAAGAAAUUGGGCCAUGAUGUCAUUAAAAACUCUGCGGCCCAGUGAGAAAGUUGAGGUUUCAGGAAAAGACAGGUGGGGGUAUGUAUUAGAAAGCUAGAACUGUUUGCUGGUUUUGCCCCUGAGCAUUGACCAACUACGCUGUCCUCCAGUCUGAAGUUACUCUUCCCAGUUCUUCUGGCUUGCUUAUAAGGUGUCACUGUCUUUUCUGUCAGGGGCCUUAUCUCUCUGUGGAUCCUGACCGUUAUGGUUUGGAUAUGAGGUCUCCCCACAAAGCUCACGUGUGAGACAAUGCAAGAAGGUUCAGAGGGGAAGUCAUUGGGUUGUGAGAGUCUUGACCCAAUCAGCAAAUUAAUCCCCUGAUGGGAUUAACUGAGUGGGAGCUGAAGGCAAGUGGGGUGUGGCUGGAGGAGGUGGGGCAUUGGAGGUGUGGCUUUGGGGUAUAUAUCUGUAUCUGGCAAGUGGAGAUCUCUUUCUGCUGCCUGAUGAUCAUGUGAGCUGCUUCUUUUGGUCACACUCUUCUGCCACGAUGUCCUGCCUCACCUUGAGCCCCGAGGAAUGGAGCCAGCCUCUGAUGGUCUGAAACCUCUGAAACCGUGAGCCCCUAAAUAAACCUUUCUUCCUCUACA